rnacentral:misc_RNA from 1 species
GAUGAAGAACGUAGCGAAAUGCGAUAAGUAGUGUGAAUUGCAGAAUUCAGUGAAUCAUCGAAUCUUUGAACGCACAUUGCGCCCAUUAGUAUUCUAGUGGGCAUGCCUGUUCGAGCGUCAUUAAGUCCACUUAAGCCCUGCUUAGUGUUGGGAGACUGCUCCAGCGGUGCUACCCUGUAGCUACCCUGCAGCUCCUCAAAGACAGCGGCGGAGUUGUGGUAUCCUCUGAGCUUAGUAACUUGUUCUAGCUUUCGAGUACACCACUUCCCCUGCCGCAAAACCCUUAAUUUUUAAUGGUUGACCUCGGAUCAGGUAGGAAUACCCGCUGAACUUAAGCAUAUCAAUAAGCGGAGGA